CUGGUCUGGUGCUGCUAUCUAAUUUUUUUAGUAAUUCAAUUUUAAUUUAAAAAAGUUGAAUUAAAAUUAAAAUCAAAACUUCUGUUCUUGUUCAACGGGCAACAAGGAGUUUUCGAAACUGCUCCUUCUUUUUUUUUUUGUCUUUUCUUUUCUUCCUCUCUUUCUUUUCCUAAAUCUCUUGCGAGCUCCACUUUGAUUCCCGCCAAUUCUCUGUUUGCAGAGAAUGCUAUGGAUGAAUUGAAAU